ensembl:lncRNA
CGCACCCCAGACAGGCCAGUGUCAAGGGCAGAAAAAGCAGAUCAGAGAGGAGGACUGUGGAUUGUGAAGGCGGUGGGGUGGAGCCUAUCUGUGUAGCUAGGGCUGGGGUUGAGCCUGUCUGUGUAACUAGGGCUGGGGUGGAGCCUGUCUGUGUAGCUAGGGCUGGGGUGGAGCCUGGCUGGGGUGGAGCCGUUCAGUGUAGCUAGGGCUGGGGUGGAGCCUGUCAGUGUAGCUAGGGCUGGGGUGGAGCCUGUCUGUGUAACUAGGGCUGGGGUGGAGCCUGUCAGUGUAGCUAGGGCUGGGGUGGAGCCUGUCAGUGUAGCUAGGGCUGGGGUGGAGCCUGUCUGUGUAGCUAGGGCUGGGAUGGAGACUGGCCGUGUAACUAGGGCUGGGGUGGAGCCUGUCUGUGUAGCUAGGGCUGGGGUGGAGCCUGUCUGUGUAACUAGGGCUAGGGUGGAGCCUGUCUGUGUAGCUAGGGCUGGGGUGGAGCCUGUCUGUGUAACUAGGGCUAGGGUGGAGCCUGUCUGUGUAGCUAGGGCUGGGGUGAAGCCUGUCUUUUGUGGAGGAAAUGCAAAACUGACCCCAGAUCAGGGUAUAGUGGCCACUUCACCAAACACUAUAAAACUAGACAGUGUUACCCCGGUAAGGGAACAUCCACUUCCAAGAACCUCUACUUCAUUCAGAAUAAUAAAUGGGAAACAGAUUGAAUUAAAUAAAAAAAUAACUCAAGCAGUUGUCACCUCACCAACAACUAAUGUAUAUGCAAGGAUGUGAACAUACAGAUUGCACAGAAAAUGACUUUGGUUGAUCUCUAGGAUUAUUGUUGACUGGAUAAUAUAUGUCAUGCGUAUUGGCAAGUGGUUAAAGAUUGUGUAUCGAUUGUGAUCAAUGCUGCAAAUCCCUUUUUUCCUUUUAAAAUGAUUGGUAAUUAAUCAGUGUUGUGACUUAGCGUUAAACCUCUGGUUACACUGGUCCUCAAUGUUCCUGGCAGGUUCUAUACAUUUUCUGAUGUUUUGAAUUCUAG